rnacentral:rRNA from 1 species
AGAGUUUGAUCCUGGCUCAGGACGAACGCUGGCGGCGUGCCUAACACAUGCAAGUCGAACGAUGAAGCCCAGCUUGCUGGGUGGAUUAGUGGCGAACGGGUGAGUAACACGUGGGUGAUCUGCCCUGCACUCUGGAAUAAGCCUGGGAAACUGGGUCUAAUACCGGAUAGGACCUUCGGCCGCAUGGCUGGGGGUGGAAAGUUUUUCGGUGCAGGAUGAGCCCGCGGCCUAUCAGCUUGUUGGUGGGGUAAUGGCCUACCAAGGCGACGACGGGUAGCCGGCCUGAGAGGGCGACCGGCCACACUGGGACUGAGACACGGCCCAGACUCCUACGGGAGGCAGCAGUGGGGAAUCUUGCGCAAUGGGCGAAAGCCUGAUGCAGCGACGCCGCGUGCGGGAUGACGGCCUUCGUGGUUGUAAACCGCUUUCAGCCAUGACGAAGCGCAAAUGACGGUAGUGGGAGAAGAAGCACCGGCCAACUACGUGCCAGCAGCCGCGGUAAUACGUAGGGUGCGAGCGUUGUCCGGAAUUACUGGGCGUAAAGAGCUCGUAGGCGGUUUGUCGCGUCGUCUGUGAAAACCCGCAGCUCAACUGCGGGCUUGCAGGCGAUACGGGCAGACUCGAGUACUGCAGGGGAGACUGGAAUUCCUGGUGUAGCGGUGAAAUGCGCAGAUAUCAGGAAGAACACCGGUGGCGAAGGCGGGUCUCUGGGCAGUAACUGACGCUGAGGAGCGAAAGCGUGGGUAGCGAACAGGAUUAGAUACCCUGGUAGUCCACGCCGUAAACGUUGGGCGCUAGGUGUGGGUUUCCUUCCACGGGAUCCGUGCCGUAGCCAACGCAUUAAGCGCCCCGCCUGGGGAGUACGGCCGCAAGGCUAAAACUCAAAGGAAUUGACGGGGGCCCGCACAAGCGGCGGAGCAUGUGGAUUAAUUCGAUGCAACGCGAAGAACCUUACCAAGGUUUGACAUGUACCGGACGACCGCAGAGAUGUGGUUUCCCUUGUGGCCGGUAUACAGGUGGUGCAUGGUUGUCGUCAGCUCGUGUCGUGAGAUGUUGGGUUAAGUCCCGCAACGAGCGCAACCCUUGUCAUUAGUUGCUACAUUCAGUUGCGCACUCUAAUGAGACUGCCGGUGACAAACCGGAGGAAGGUGGGGAUGACGUCAGGUCCUCAUGGCCCUUAUGGGUAGGGCUACACACGUCAUACAAUGGUCGGGACAGAGGGUUGCCAAGCCGCGAGGUGGAGCCAAUCUCAGAAACCCGAUCGUAGUCCGGAUCGCAGUCUGCAACUCGACUGCGUGAAGUCGGAAUCGCUAGUAAUCGCGGAUCAGCAUGUCGCGGUGAAUACGUUCCCGGGUCUUGUACACACCGCCCGUCACACCAUGGGAGCGGGUUUCACCAGAAGUAGUUAGCCUAACCGUAAGGGGGGCGCUUACCACGGUGAGAUUCAUGACUGGGGUGAAGUCGUAACAAGGUAACCGUA